rnacentral:pre_miRNA from 1 species
UAUAGUUUUCAAAGUGACAACUAGUCACUGACCUAUAGUAAUUUUUUAAAUUAUAGAUCAGUGACUAGUUGUCACUUUGAAAACUAUAUAU